AGAGUUUGAUCCUGGCUCAGAAUCAACGCUGGCGGCGCGCUUAACACAUGCAAGUCGAACGAGAAAGUGGAGCAAUCCAUGAGUAAAGUGGCGUACGGGUGAGUAACACGUGGGUAAUCUACCUCUUGGUGGGGAAUAACCCUGGGAAACCGGGGCUAAUACCGCAUAAGCUCGGAAGAGGAAGCCCGAAAGGGGCCGAGAGAGGAGCCCGCGGUCGAUUAGCUAGUUGGUGAGGUAAGAGCUCACCAAGGCGAUGAUCGAUAGCCGGCCUGAGAGGGCACACGGCCACACUGGCACUGAAACACGGGCCAGACUCCUACGGGAGGCAGCAGUGGGGAAUCUUGCACAAUGGGGGCAACCCUGAUGCAGCGACGCCGCGUGAGCGAUGAAGCCCUUCGGGGUGUAAAGCUCUUUCGGCCGGAACGAUAAUGACGGUACCGGCAGAAGAAGCUGCGGCUAACUACGUGCCAGCAGCCGCGGUAAUACGUAGGCAGCGAGCGUUGUUCGGAGUUACUGGGCGUAAAGAGUGCGUAGGCGGUGCUCUAAGUUUGGUGUGAAAUCUCCCGGCUCAACUGGGAGGGUGCGCCGAAAACUGGAGUGCUCGAGUAUGGGAGAGGUAAGCGGAAUUCCUGGUGUAGCGGUGAAAUGCGUAGAUAUCAGGAGGAACACCUGCGGUGUAGACGGCUUACUGGACCAUGACUGACGCUGAGGCACGAAAGCGUGGGGAGCAAACAGGAUUAGAUACCCUAGUAGUCC
rnacentral:rRNA from 1 species